UACCUAGUUGAUCCUAUCAGUAGUCAUAUGCUUGUCUCAAAGAUUGAGCCAUGCAUAUGCAAGUACGAACUAAUUCGAACGGUGAAACUGCGAAUGGCUCAUUAAAUAUGUUAUAGUUUGUUUGAUGGUACGUACUACUCGGAUAACGUAGUAAUUUUAGAGAUAAUACAUGAAACAAACCCCAACUUCCGAGAGGGACACAUUUAUUAGAUAAAAGGUUGACUCGAGCUCUGCUCUCUGAUCCGAUGAUUCAUAAUAAUUUGACGGAACGCACGGCCUUCGUGCCGACGACGCAUCAUUCAAACUUCUACCCUAUCAACUUUCGAUGGUAGGAUAGGGGCCUACCAUGGUGGUGACGAAUGACGAAGAAUUAGGGUUCGAUUCCAGAGAGGGAGCCUGAGAAAUGGCUAUGACAUCCAAGAAAGGCAGCAGACACACAAAUUACCUAAUCCUAAGGCAGAGAGGUAGUGACAAUAAAUAACAAUACUAACUGUCGCGUUAGUGUCUGGUAAUUGGAAUGAGCACAAUCUAAAUCCCUUAGCGAGAAUCCAUUGGAGGGCAAGUCUGGUGCCAGUAGUCGCGAUAAUUCUAGCUCCAAUAGUGUAUAUUUAAGUUGUUGUCGUUAAAAAGCUCAUAGUUGGACCUGCUCGACCCGUCUGCCGACGAUGCGCUCCUGGCCUUAACUGGUCGGGUCGUGCCUCCGGUGCUGUUACUUUGAAGAAAUUAGAGUGGUCAAAGCAAGUCAUCGCGCUUGAUACAUUAGUAUGGGAUAACAUCAAAGGAUUUCGGUCCUAUUGUGUUGGCCUUCAGGAUCAUAGUAAUGAUCAAUAGGGACAGUCAGGGGUAUUCGUAUUUCAUAGUCAUAGGCAAAAUUCUUGGAUUUAUGAAAGACAAACAACUGCGAAAGCAUUUGUCAAGGAUGUUUUCAUUAAUUAAGAAUGAAAGUUGGGGACUCGAAGACGAUCAAAUAUCGUUCUAGUCUCAACCAUAAAUGAUGCCGACUAGGAAUCAACGGGUAAUACUAAUAGGACCUAGUUGGCACCUUAUGAGAAAUCGAAGCCAAGUUCAAACAACACUAUAGGCGCUAGCUUAAAAUCAAGU
rnacentral:ncRNA from 1 species